GUGUUUCCAGAGGGAGGAAAAUGUUUAUCAAUCGUUUCUGGACGCUCUCAAUAGGUACGGGCGUGGGAACAGCAGAAUUAGCGUGGUCUACAAUGAGGUUGCAAGCCUUUUUGCCGGCCAUCCGGACUUGCUCGAGGAAUUCAAGAGCUUAUUGCCUAAAAGCUUUCAGGAUCAGGAGGAGCUCAGCUCUAUCACCACACUGACCUCGCGCGGAUUGGACAUGGAUAGAACCCGCCGAGAUAGGAUUGCCGAUUUUCAAGCUGAGGAUGGAUUAGUUACUGUGGAUCGCCCCGAUCUAGGCGACGAUGAGGAAAUAAUGAAGGUGCACGAGGACGAGAUGCAUCAUUUCAAGGGACUCAUUCUGUUGAGGAUUUCAGCAAUAUAUAUAGUUCUCGCUGUAUUAGUUCUCCUUCUUGCUUUAUGGAUCAAUAGAGGGAAUUAGUUUCCUGCAUUUGGUUUGUAAGAGAUCAGCUCUAUCAUUUCAUGUAAUCCAUUUCUGGGACAAGGAAAUAACAAGAAUAAAACAAACUUAUUUU